rnacentral:rRNA from 1 species
GACGAACGCUGGCGGCGUGCUUUAUACACGCAAGUCGAACGAUGAAGUUCCUUCGGGAAUGGAUUAGUGGCGAACGGGUGAGGAACACGUGAGAAACCCGCCUUUCAUUCUGGGAUAACACCGGGAAACCGGUGCUAAUACCGGAUACUCCGUCUUGGCGGCAUCGCCGAGCCGGGAAAAAAUUUUGAUGAAAGAUGGUCUCGCGGCCUAUCAGCUAGUUGGUGAGGUAAAGGCUCACCAAGGCGACGACGGGUAGCCGGCCUGAGAGGGCGACCGGCCACACUGGGACUGAGACACGGCCCAGACUCCUACGGGAGGCAGCAGUAGGGAAUAUUGGGCAAUGGGCGCAAGCCUGACCCAGCGACGCCGCGUGAGGGAUGAAGGUCUUCGGAUUGUAAACCUCUUUCAGUAGGGAAGAAGCGAAAGUGACGGUACCUAAAGAAGAAGCACCGGCUAACUAUGUGCCAGCAGCCGCCGUAAGAC